rnacentral:lncRNA from 10 species
GCCCUUCAAGGAUGCUGAGGUUCCCCUCACAAAUUUAUUCCUCAAAGUAAUAGUGAGAUCUGUGUCUUCUGAACUCUCCCAGUGUUGGUUUUUCAGGGAAAUCAAGACUCCUUCACACCUGUGGUGAACUCUCUAGACCCACCGUUACUGACUCGCUACCUUCGAAUUCACCCCCAGAGUUGGGUGCACCAGAUUGCCCUGAGGAUGGAGGUUCUGGGCUGCGAGGCACAGGACCUCUACUGAGGGUGGCCACUGCAGCACCUGCCACUGCCGUCACCUCUCCCUCCUCAGCUCCAGGGCAGUGUCCCUCCCUGGCUUGCCUUCUACCUUUGUGCUAAAUCCUAGCAGACACUGCCUUGAAGCCUCCUGAAUUAACUAUCAUCAGUCCUGCAUUUCUUUGGUGGGGGGCCAGGAGGGUGCAUCCAAUUUAACUUAACUCUUACCUAUUUUCUGCAGCUGCUCCCAGAUUACUCCUUCCUUCCAAUAUAACUAGGCAAAAAGAAGUGAGGAGAAACCUGCAUGAAAGCAUUCUUCCCUGAAAAGUUAGGCCUCUCAGAGUCACCACUUCCUCUGUUGUAGAAAAACUAUGUGAUGAAACUUUGAAAAAGAUAUUUAUGAUGUUAACAUUUCAGGUUAAGCCUCAUACGUUUAAAAUAAAACUCUCAGUUGUUUAUUAUCCUGAUCAAGCAUGGAACAAAGCAUGUUUCAGGAUCAGAUCAAUACAAUCUUGGAGUCAAAAGGCAAAUCAUUUGGACAAUCUGCAAAAUGGAGAGAAUACAAUAACUACUACAGUAAAGUCUGUUUCUGCUUCCUUACACAUAGAUAUAAUUAUGUUAUUUAGUCAUUAUGAGGGGCACAUUCUUAUCUCCAAAACUAGCAUUCUUAAACUGAGAAUUAUAGAUGGGGUUCAAGAAUCCCUAAGUCCCCUGAAAUUAUAUAAGGCAUUCUGUAUAAAUGCAAAUGUGCAUUUUUCUGACGAGUGUCCAUAGAUAUAAAGCCAUUUGGUCUUAAUUCUGACCAAUAAAAAAAUAAGUCAGGAGGAUGCAAUUGUUGAAAGCUUUGAAAUAAAAUAACAAUGUCUUCUUGAAAUUUGUGAUGGCCAAGAAAGAAAAUGAUGAUGACAUUAGGCUUCUAAAGGACAUACAUUUAAUAUUUCUGUGGAAAUAUGAGGAAAAUCCAUGGUUAUCUGAGAUAGGAGAUACAAACUUUGUAAUUCUAAUAAUGCACUCAGUUUACUCUCUCCCUCUACUAAUUUCCUGCUGAAAAUAACACAACAAAAAUGUAACAGGGGAAAUUAUAUACCGUGACUGAAAACUAGAGUCCUACUUACAUAGUUGAAAUAUCAAGGAGGUCAGAAGAAAAUUGGACUGGUGAAAACAGAAAAAACACUCCAGUCUGCCAUAUCACCACACAAUAGGAUCCCCCUUCUUGCCCUCCACCCCCAUAAGAUUGUGAAGGGUUUACUGCUCCUUCCAUCUGCCUGACCCCUUCACUAUGACUACACAGAAUCUCCUGAUAGUAAAGGGGGCUGGAGACAAGGAUAAGUUAUAGAGCAGUUGGAGGAAGCAUCCAAAGAUUGCAACCCAGGGCAAAUGGAAAACAGGAGAUCCUAAUAUGAAAGAAAAAUGGAUCCCAAUCUGAGAAAAGGCAAAAGAAUGGCUACUUUUUUCUAUGCUGGAGUAUUUUCUAAUAAUCCUGCUUGACCCUUAUCUGACCUCUUUGGAAACUAUAACAUAGCUGUCACAGUAUAGUCACAAUCCACAAAUGAUGCAGGUGCAAAUGGUUUAUAGCCCUGUGAAGUUCUUAAAGUUUAGAGGCUAACUUACAGAAAUGAAUAAGUUGUUUUGUUUUAUAGCCCGGUAGAGGAGUUAACCCCAAAGGUGAUAUGGUUUUAUUUCCUGUUAUGUUUAACUUGAUAAUCUUAUUUUGGCAUUCUUUUCCCAUUGACUAUAUACAUCUCUAUUUCUCAAAUGUUCAUGGAACUAGCUCUUUUAUUUUCCUGCUGGUUUCUUCAGUAAUGAGUUAAAUAAAACAUUGACACAUACAAACAAA